UACCGAGUGAGGGCCCUUUGGGUCCAACCUCCCACCCGUGUUUAUUUUACCUUGUUGCUUCGGCGGGCCCGCCUUUACUGGCCGCCGGGGGGCUCACGCCCCCGGGUCCGCGCCCGCCGAAGACACCCUCGAACUCUGUCUGAAGAUUGAAGUCUGAGUGAAAAUAUAAAUUAUUUAAAACUUUCAACAACGGAUCUCUUGGUUCCGGCAUCGAUGAAGAACGCAGCGAAAUGCGAUACGUAAUGUGAAUUGCAAAUUCAGUGAAUCAUCGAGUCUUUGAACGCACAUUGCGCCCCCUGGUAUUCCGGGGGGCAUGCCUGUCCGAGCGUCAUUGCUGCCCUCAAGCCCGGCUUGUGUGUUGGGCCCCGUCCUCCGAUUCCGGGGGACGGGCCCGAAAGGCAGCGGCGGCACCGCGUCCGGUCCUCGAGCGUAUGGGGCUUUGUCACCCGCUCCGUAGGCCCGGCCGGCGCUUGCCGAUCAACCCAAAUUUUUAUCCAGGUUGACCUCGGAUCAGGUAGGGAUACCCGCUGAACUUAAGCAUAUCAAUAAG
rnacentral:rRNA from 1 species